rnacentral:rRNA from 1 species
GACGAACGCUGGCGGCGUGCUUAACACAUGCAAGUCGAACGGAAAGGCCCUGCUUUUGUGGGGUGCUCGAGUGGCGAACGGGUGAGUAACACGUGAGUAACCUGCCCUUGACUUUGGGAUAACUUCAGGAAACUGGGGCUAAUACCGGAUAGGAGCUCCUGCUGCAUGGUGGGGGUUGGAAAGUUUCGGCGGUUGGGGAUGGACUCGCGGCUUAUCAGCUUGUUGGUGGGGUAGUGGCUUACCAAGGCUUUGACGGGUAGCCGGCCUGAGAGGGUGACCGGCCACAUUGGGACAGAGAUACGGCCCGGACUCCUGCGGGAGGCAGCAGUGUGGAAUAUUGCACAAUGGGCGGAAGCCUGAUGCAGCAACGCCGCGUGCGGGAUGACGGCCUUCGGGUUGUAAACCGCUUUCGCCUGUGACGAAGCGUGAGUGACGGUAAUGUGUAAAGAAGCACCGGCUAACUACGUG